GACAGAGGGUGCAAACGUUGUUCGGAAUUACUGGGCGUAAAGCGAGUGUAGGCGGUCUCGUAAGUCGGGUGUGAAAGCCCCGGGCUCAACCCGGGAAGUGCACUCGAAACUGCGAGGCUAGAGUAUCGGAGAGGUUGGUGGAAUUCUCGGUGUAGAGGUGAAAUUCGUAGAUAUUCGCAAGAACACCAGUGGCGAAGGCGGCUCACUGGCCCGGUACUGACGCUGAGGUGCGAAAGCGUGGGGAGCAAACAGGG
rnacentral:rRNA from 1 species